rnacentral:misc_RNA from 1 species
UUUCCGUAGGUGAACCUGCGGAAGGAUCAUUAUUGAGUGGGGUUGUGGUUGGGUGGUGAUUGUGGGUGGGAGAGAGGGGGUGUGGUUGUGGUGGGGGGAUUGGUGGAGUUGGAUGGAUUGGUGAUGUUGUCGGUGUUGGAUUGACUGGUUGCGCCACAUGUCAGUGUGUCAAGAUCAGCUAGUCUAGUCUGCAUCAGCCAGUCUGACACACCUCCAAGUCACCCUGAAAGACCGCACUCGCUCUCGCAACUGCUCACUCACCACCACCAUAUAUAUAAGCACAGUUUGAGAGUAUGGCCGAGUGAGAGGAAGGAUAAUGAUAUGACAACUUUUAACAAUGGAUCUCUUGGCUCUU